UUGGGCGUAAAGAGCUCGUAGGCGGUUUGUCGCGUCUGCUGUGAAAUCCCGAGGCUCAACCUCGGGCCUGCAGUGGGUACGGGCAAACUAGAGUGUGGUAGGGGAGAUUGGAACUCCUGGUGUAGCGGUGGAAUGCGCAGAUAUCAGGAAGAACACCGAUGGCGAAGGCAGAUCUCUGGGCCAUUACUGACGCUGAGGAGCGAAAGCGUGGGGAGCGAACAGGAUUAGAUACCCUGGUAGUCCACGCCGUAAACGUUGGGAACUAGAUGUAGGGUCCACUCCACGGAUUCUGUGUCGCAGCUAACGCAUUAAGUUCCCCGCCUGGGGAGUACGGCCGCAAGGCUAAAACUCAAAGGAAUUGACGGGGGCCCGCACAAGCGGCGGAGCAUGCGGAUUAAUUCGAUGCAACGCGAAGAACCUUACCAAGGCUUGACAUAUACCGGAGAAGCGUAGAAAUACGCUCCCCGCAAGGUCGGUAUACAGGUGGUGCAUGGUUGUCGUCAGCUCGUGUCGUGAGAUGUUGGGUUAAGUCCCGCAACGAGCGCAACCCUCGUCCUAUGUUGCCAGCACGUAAUGGUGGGAACUCAUGGGAGACUGCCGGGG
rnacentral:rRNA from 1 species